rnacentral:lncRNA from 1 species
GAGGGGAGAGAUGACGAUUCGAUGACAGAGAAGAAUGUGAAAGUGAAGAAGUGUAAAGACACUAGGAAUGAUUAUGAGAGGAGGGAGGAAAGUGUAGUAUAAGAUGGUGCUUCUUGGGUUCUGAUGGGGGUGGUGCGCUAGACCACAAACACCGACGUCAUCUUCUUUGCAGAUAUAUCAACAUUGAGCGCCUCACAUUUUCCCGUCACAACUGUGCUAACCCAACUCCACAACAUCAAA